CAGGGAGACAACAAAAAUGUUUAAAUAUUAUUAUUUUUGUCACCUUAGGUCGAUCGGUAUCUCACAUUCUUAAUUUAUUAAGGAUUUCAUUUCCUAAGUUUUUCUAGGUCACACCCAUUAUUUUUCCUGGGCCAUUAGCUCAGGUGGUUAGAGCGCACCCCUGAUAAGGGUGAGGUCCCUGGUUCAAGUCCAGGAUGGCCCAUAUCUCUAUGUUGGGGGUAUAGCUCAGUUGGUAGAGCGCCUGCUUUGCAAGCAGGAUGUCAGCGGUUCGAGUCCGCUUACCUCCACUGAUUACCACCUCUUCCAUAAUCUGUAGAAAGGAAAAUUUUGAGUUGGAUCAUAAAUCUGACGAAUCUAGCUUCCUAAUGAAACAUUUAAGAUGCUGACUCAUUUGAAUUUAAUUUCAUUUGUUUUCAGAGAACCUUGACAACUUGCUUAGAUUUAUUUUUAAAGACAUAAGAUCCUUUAUUGAGAAAUUUAUUUUUGUGCGAAUGCAUUAAUAACAAUUCUAUUAAGCUGAUGCUUCAA
rnacentral:tRNA from 1 species